rnacentral:rRNA from 1 species
UCGAACGCUCACCUUCGGGUGGGAGUGGCAGACGGGUGAGUAACACGUGGGAACGUACCCUUUGGUUCGGGACAACUCUGGGAAACUGGAGCUAAUACCGGAUACGCCCUUUUGGGGAAAGGUUUACUGCCGAAGGAUCGGCCCGCGUCUGAUUAGCUAGUUGGUGGGGUAACGGCCUACCAAGGCGACGAUCAGUAGCUGGUCUGAGAGGAUGAUCAGCCACACUGGGACUGAGACACGGCCCAGACUCCUACGGGAGGCAGCAGUGGGGAAUAUUGGACAAUGGGCGCAAGCCUGAUCCAGCCAUGCCGCGUGAGUGAUGAAGGCCUUAGGGUUGUAAAGCUCUUUUAUCCGGGACGAUAAUGACGGUACCGGAGGAAUAAGCCCCGGCUAACUUCGUGCCAGCAGCCGCGGUAAUACGAAGGGGGCUAGCGUUGCUCGGAAUCACUGGGCGUAAAGGGCGCGUAGGCGGCGUUUUAAGUCGGGGGUGAAAGCCUGUGGCUCAACCACAGAAUGGCCUUCGAUACUGGGACGCUUGAGUCUGGUAGAGGUUGGUGGAACUGCGAGUGUAGAGGUGAAAUUCGUAGAUAUUCGCAAGAACGCCGGUGGCGAAGGCGGCCAACUGGACCGGCACUGACGCUGAGGCGCGAAAGCGUGGGGAGCAAACAGGAUUAGAUGCCCUGGUAGUCCACGCUGUAAACGAUGAAUGCUAGCUGUUGGGAUGCAUGCAUCUCAGUAGCGCAGCUAACGCAUUAAGCAUUCCGCCUGGGGAGUACGUCGCAAGAUUAAAACUCAAAGGAAUUGACGGGGGCCCCACAAGCGGUGGGGCAUGUGG